CCUACGGGUGGCAGCAGUGAGGAAUAUUGGUCAAUGGGCGAGAGCCUGAACCAGCCAAGUCGCGUGAAGGAUGACGGCCCUACGGGUUGUAAACUUCUUUUGUCAGGGAGCAAUUGAGUCAACGUGUGGUCGUAGCGAGAGUACCUGAAGAAAAAGCAUCGGCUAACUCCGUGCCAGCAGACGCGGUAAUACGGAGGAUGGGAGCGUUAUCCGGAUUUAUUGGGUUAAAAGGGUGCGUAAGCGGAAUAUCAAGGCAGGGGUAAAAAUUCGGGGCUCAACCCCGUCGUGCCGUUGAAACUGAUGUUCUUGAGUGGGCGAGAAGUAUGCGGAAUGCGUGGUGUAGCGGUGAAAUGCAUAGAUAUCACGCAGAACUCCGAUUGCGAAGGCAGCAUACCGGCGCCCAACUGACGCUGAAGCACGAAAGCGUGGGUAUCGAACAGGAUUAGAUACCCUGGUAGUC
rnacentral:rRNA from 1 species